rnacentral:lncRNA from 1 species
AGGAAGCUCAAAAGCGGUUUCUUUAGACCCUAAGCGAGAUAUAGUUUCUGCAAUUUAUUUUUGUAGUUUCGCCGAGUGGAAUUUAUUUAAAAGAAACAAAGGGUUGAACCUUUUUCUUCUUCUUCUCUAGUGCUUAAAAUAGCUUUGUCUUUUGCUUCAUUUCCUUAUCCUCAAAGAUCAAAACCUCAAACGUUACACCGACUCGACCUAUAUAUGCCUCUCUUUACUUAUAUAUGAAUCAAUUAUGGUGAUUGUUGAAGUCCAAGAAUAGCCCUAUAAAUGGGAUCUUAUUCAACAGAAGAAGAAGAUAAGCUUUUUAUUGGAGUUGGUUUUAUAUAUAUGAAUCAAUUAUGGUGAUUGUUGAAGUCCAAGAAUAGUUCUAUA